UACGUAGGGUGCAAGCGUUGUUCGGAAUUACUGGGCGUAAAGCGCGCGUAGGCGGACAUUUAAGUCAGGGGUGAAAUGCCGGGGCUCAACCUCGGAACUGCCUUUGAUACUGUGGUGCUUGAGUACUGGAGAGGAGAUUGGAAUUUACGGUGUAGCAGUGAAAUGCGUAGAUAUCGUAAGGAAGACCAGUGGCGAAGGCGAAUCUCUGGACAGUUACUGACACUGAGGCACGAAGGCCAGGGGAGCAAACGGG
rnacentral:rRNA from 1 species